rnacentral:rRNA from 1 species
UACAGAGGCCUCAAGCGUUAGGCGGAAUUACUGGGCGUAAAGCGUGCGCAGGCGGUUAUGUAAGACAGGGGUGAAAUCCCCGGGCUUAACCUGGGAACUGCAUUUGUGACUGCAUAGCUAGAGUACGGUAGAGGGGGAUGGAAUUCCGCGUGUAGCAGUGAAAUGCGUAGAUAUGCGGAGGAACACCGAUGGCGAAGGCAAUCCCCUGGACCUGUACUGACGCUCAUGCACGAAAGCGUGGGGAGCAAACAGG